CAUUGAAACGCAAUUCAUUUAACUAUUUCUUUCGACAAUAUUCUUGUCUCAAAGCAAAAACAUUGAUUCAUUGUAAUUUAAGACUUUUAGGUUUUACGGGGACAACAUUAAAAGUAGACUGAUAUGUAAGAUAAAGCAAAAACCGAAAUCCUCAUAAUCAUUAUGUCUGUCUGUUCUUGUCUUGUAUUUUGCUUAAUUCAGACUUUGGUGAUUUUUUUAUGACUAGAUUUAAAUAUAGUGACAAUGCAGUAUUAUACUUUAAGUACUAGUACUGCUUAAGUCGACACUAAGGACCACCUUGACCUUGUUUUACGGUAUUAAUGAUUCUUUUAUUGUUGAAGACCUUCCAUCAACUAUCAAGAUGAAGAAAAGAAAGAAAAAAAAAACUUCGGCCAUUGAUCAUUCGUAUUUUUUCUAUGCAUUGACUUUGUGUGAGAUUAGGUCCUGUGCACGUUUACUCCUAACAUAUUCUUUUAUUUUCUGUUUAAGAGUCUGAACACGACUUUUCAUGCAAGUUUAAUCCUUCAAUGUAAAAGGUCAUAUGGCAAUACAUUGAUGUUUUUUUAAAGAUGAUUUGAUACCGGGAAAUUGGUGGUCUUACUUUAAUUUAAACCAUGUCAGCUAUCUUGUUUUAUCUACAAAAAAGAGCCAGUUUUGUAUUCUUUGAUAUCAAGUUCAAUUUUCCAUGCAGAAACGACAUUUAUUUUCUAUGUCCAGUAGCAUCGUAUAUUCUUAAAAUAGUUUCUCGUACAAUGUCUGGACAUCGGUGGACUUGCAACAUUACAAAUGAAAAUCAACACUCUGCAGACUAUAGUUAUAAAGUAGGAUAAUAAAUGAACAAAAGACAAAUCCGGAACACAGAAGUACAAACAAUAUACCAUCAACUCUGAAAACUAAAAGUAAAAUAGAAACAUGGAUCACAAAAAACAUGCAGGGGCGAUAUCAGAGAGUGAAGAGAACUUGCUUCUUACAAGACACUUUCCGUGAAAACAAUUCAGGUUGAUAUGAAGACAAUCUUGUUUCAGUUUUUUUUUUUUUUUUUUUUUUUAAUUUCCAACAUGAGGCAUUUGCCUCAUUUGCCUCCAUGUAGUUACGGCCCUGGGAAU
rnacentral:lncRNA from 1 species